AGGCUCUAUUUCUGGCAGCUCAACUCAAGCGUGAGGAGAAGGGGUCCACCUAGAAGGAACUUGGUUUCAGAAGAACAGUUCUUGCCCAUUUCUCCGCCAUGACCCAGCCAUUUCUCUUCCUCCUCUUCCUCCUCACCUACUUCACUGAUGGCUUGGCCCAGUUCACCAUGACUCAGCCACCUUCUGUGUUGGCCUCCCAUGGACAAACAGUCCAGCUCACCUGUACCAAGGAAGGUGGCAGCAUUUCUAGCCACUAUGUGAGCUGGUAUCAGCAGAAACCUGGCACAAAACCUCAACUAGUGAUCUAUAAUCAUAGUAGCAGACCUUCUGGAAUCCCUGAGUGGUUUUCUGGAUCUGUUGACUCUUCCUCCAAUUCGGCCAUCAUGUCCACCUCCAGCAUUCAAUCAGAGGACGAGGCUGACUAUUACUGUUUGUCUUACGAUAGCAAUUCUCAGAGCACAGUGAUUCCACUUUAUGGGGAACUGUGA